UGGAUUCUCCCCUCAGAGCCUCCAGAAGAAACCAGCCCUGCAGACACCUUGACUUUGGCUUAUUGAGACUGAUUUUGGACAUCUGAUCUCCAGAACUACCCAGGCUUGCCAGCUGUAAAGGUAAAUUGUUUCCUACCUGCCACUGCAAGUAGAGUGAACCUGGGAGAUGAAGACAGUUGAGAACAUAAUCCCUCUCUGACAUUAAAUAAAGGAAGGCUCAGAGCAGUUGAGUCUCUUCUGUUUUCAACAAACAGCAUCGGUGGUACUUGCUAUUAUUUUAGAGUCUCAAAUUUGUAAGUCUAGCACACCAGAGAUUGCGCCUUCAUUGUAUUUCAUGAACUGUUAGGACAAUCUGCUUGAAAAAGAUUUCUAUCAACCAUUGGCUUUUUUCUUCCAUUGGAUAAGUAUUUUAUUUCCAGAAAGAUUAUGAGCCACAAGACAUUAAAGUCUAAAUGAAGAA